CCCCCUUUGGUGCAGUGGCUAGCACACUCCAUUCAUCGGCACUCGUUGAGUCCGGUUUCAUCAAUUCUAAAUGGGAUGGAUCAUGGAGAGCCCCGGGUUCAAACCCCGGAAGGGGGG